CAAGCCACUCUGGGACUGAGCCAGGAAUAUCUGAUCAAAGGUCUCGGAGACAAGGACGUCAAAGCUUACCUCGAUUAUCAAGUCGGUUUAGCCACUCUCCUGGGAGCCGAUAAGGACAGCGCAACUAAGCAGCAGACGGAAGCCCUCGAAUUUGAAAUCAAGCUGGCCAAUAUCAAUUUGCCGAGGGAGGAGCGCCGCGAUGCCAACAAACUUUACAAUCCCAUGACUAUUAAAGAAUUGAGCCUCAAAGUACCCGAAAUCCCUUGGCUGGUCUAAAUGAACACGAUCCUGGCCCCGCAUCACGUCCUGACUGAAAACGAGCGCGUCAUUGUUGAUGUGCCCGACUAUUUCCCCAAGCUGGUUGAUUUGCUGGCCAAAACUCCCAAGAGGACUUUGGCCAAUUAUUUGAUGUGGCGCGUUUCCUCGGCGUCUGUCGGCUACUUGAACGAAGCUGCUAGAAAUCUGUAGCUGAAAUAUUCCGCCGUCUUGACCGGCACAACUGAACGCAAACCCCACUGGGAGGAGUGCACUGAC